rnacentral:rRNA from 1 species
CCUACGGGAGGCAGCAGUGAGGGAUAUUGGUCAAUGGGCUUACGCCUGAACCAGCCAAGUCGCGUGAGGGAAGACUGCCCUAUGGGUUGUAAACCUCUUUUGUCAGGGAGCAAUUGGCGCUACGUGUAGCGUUAUCGAGAGUACCUGAAGAAAAAGCAUCGGCUAACUCCGUGCCAGCAGCCGCGGUAAUACGGAGGAUGCGGGCGUUAUCCGGAGUUAUUGGGUUUAAAGGGUGCGUAGGCGGAAUGCCAAGUCAGCGGGAAAAUCGGGGGGCUCAACCUCGCUCCGCCUUUGAAACUGGCGGUCUUGAGUGAGCGAGAGGUAGGCGGAAUGCGUGGUGUAGCGGUGAAAUGCAUAGAUAUCACGAAGAACUCCGAUUGCGAAGGCAGCAUACCGGCGCCCAACUGACGCUGAAGCACGAAAGCGUGGGUAUCGAACAGGAUUAGAUACCCGGGUAGUC